GGUGGCUCAGUGGUAGAGUGCCUGCCUUGCAUGCAUGAAACCCUGGGUUCGAUACUCAGCACCA
rnacentral:tRNA from 1 species